rnacentral:lncRNA from 1 species
UCACCCAGCUGUUAUGCCGCUUCUGCCUGCAAGAUGAGAAAGACACCUCCCCUCCCCAGGAGAGUCUCCGAGUCUGGGCCUUGCCACUCCUCACUCAGCAUCUGACCAUCCCCACCUCCUGGAUCUACAGGGUUCAUAGAGGAGGACCCAGAAGAGGGAAAGUCAGGCUGAGGAACUUGGCCUCCCUGCUGCAAGGGAAAUGACAUCGGUUACCAAGGAGGUGACCAGCUAUCCUUUUCCAAGACUGAAAAGCAGAAAUAUGGCCCUGAGCCUAGAGGGUCUAAGAGAACAAUAGGAAGAAUUUCCUGACAAAGGACAAUGUUGCCUAAAGGACUCAUGAAGCUCUGUGAAAAUAGGAGACUCCUGAGCACCAGACCCUUCUCCACCAGGCAGUGUUUUUCCCAUAUGACAGCUGAGAAAACUGAGGCUGAGAGACAUGUAAUAACUUGCUGAAGCAGCAACCAGCACGGCAUAUAGCUGAAAUCUGUAGAUCAGCAGUUAAAAGUGGUAGGGCAAGUCCUCUCUGACUUUCAGCGCUAAGAGCCUAGGAUUCUGUGUUUUUCUGCUUAAGCCUGGGAAUCAGAGUCCUACAAAAGCCGCGCCUAAUCCUGGGGGUGUGGGCUUUAAACCCAGAGAGAAAGCAUGUUAUUGGAAUACUCCUGCACUUUUCUCCCUUUGAAUCCCACC